AGAUGCUACUUGCAAAAGAGACAUGUUAAAGUUAUAUAUGUAUAGAAACAUGUACGAAAUUGAUUAAAGGCUUGCUCUCGGCCUGAACAGUUGCUGACAGCGGGCUGAGGGCUGUCAAAUAAAUAUUCUCUUAAAACUAAAUAACAAAAACAAUUCGAAUGUGUCUGCUUUGCAAUGUUAAACAGAGCGUUUACAAUUAUAAACAUAAACAAUUGAAAAUAAAUAUAAUGAGUGAGUGAUUAAAGUGUAUAUAAUAAAAUAAGAUAAAUCACAGCGAAUUCCAACUAACCAUAAUUUGGAUAUUAUAAAAUAUAAAAAUUAAUGGCGAGAUGGAAAACCAAAUUGGAAAUCCAUACAGCAGAAUUGGACGAAUGGCUGCCUUGUAUAGUAGGAGUUUAGUCUUUUCUGUAGAUCGAACAUGUGAAUUAAAUUUAAGCAGCAUAUUAAAUGUUACUCCACGGUACUGCAUGUUUGCUUUAAAAGGGAUUUCCACACCUUCUAACGCCGUUCGUAGCAGCUUACUUUCCGGUACCACAUGUUUUGAACAUUUCCCCCAUGCGUUCCUUAUGCAGAUAGCUUGAGACUUGCAGCAUUAAUGCAUAUACCCCAUUUUUUAUAAUAUUGUUGUAUUAUGAAUAAGUGCUCCUCUACGUGACGUAGUGCAUACUCUGGUGAAGCAUUAUGUGCAUAAAUUAAGCAAUCGUCUGCAUAGAGAAUUGCUUUUGAAUGAAAUGUAGAGUGAGGAAAGUCAUUUAGGAAUGUGUUGAACAGAAAAGGUGCUAAGACACUCCCAUGAGGAACCCCACUGUUAACUGAACCUUGGAUUGACUUAUCGUUUUUUAUUUGUACAAAGAAUUUACGAUCGGAAAGGUAGUUUUGUAUUAUUUCCUCGUAUUAUUUUGAUUAAAAAUGGGUCCACACCCAGUUCAAUGAGUUUAUAUACAAUUGCUUUGUGGCACACGGAGUCAAAGGCUUUUUCUAUGUCCAAGGAUAUGGCUACAGUACUGAUACGAUUUUUCAAAUUUGCUGUAGUGUCGUUGUGGAAAUUUAAAAUGUGUUGAAUGUUUUCAUUGGAAACCAAAUUGAAAGUUAGAUAUAUGAUUUGUAAUGAACUCAUUUUCUAUUUUUUCUUUUAGGACAUGUUCAAAUAUUUUACCGAGAUUUGAUAGGAGAGAGAUCGGACGAAAUCAGCAACACUUUCGCUAUUGGCCUUUCUUGGGACUGGAACAAUUUUUGCUAGCUUCCACAUUUCGGGAAAGUAGCCAUUAUUGAUAGAGUUAUUACAAAUGCAUGUUAUAAUUCGCAGAGCAGUUUCAGGAAAUUUGCGCAUACAAAAAUUUGAGAUUCCAUCAACUCCACUUGACUUUUUAUUAUUGGCCUUUUGUAUAAUUUCUUUGAUUUUUUCAGGAUUGGCGAAAUGGUAAUUAUCUGUAUUUGAUAUUGAGUUGAACUGUCUGUCGAAUGUAUAUAUACUUGGAGAUAUGGAUGUGAGACAAGAAGAAAUUUUGGAUUGAAGAAUAUCAGUUGGAAAUUCAGUUAUAGUUUCUUGGAAGGAAAACGUAUAGUACUGGUGGAAAUAAUUUGCAAUUUCAGAAUGAUUAAAAACAUUGGUGUUGUUGACCUGCAAUUGCUGGCAGAACGGGUAUUUCUUUCUGCCGCUGAACUUAUAAAUCUCUUUAAAAGCAGAUGGGCCAGGUUUAAUAUCUUGGAGACGAUUGUUGAAUGUGUCUGCUUGUUCAAUGCUUAUUGAUUCUUUUAUUAUUACUUUCAGAAGCUGAAUUUGUUUGGAUAAUAUACGAUCAUCGCUGCUCAUUCUAUUUCCUGUUCUAUGAAAUAUCUUUUUUAAUUCUUUCUGCCAUUUAUGUUUUACUUUUUAAAGCCGUUUGAAUCUCUCAGAGAGAGGAAAGAGACCGUUGCUGAUUGUGAUUAUCUGUGAGUGGGCAUCGUGAAUUGAGUUUAAACAGCUGUUGAAGGAGUCAACUAAUCCAUCAAUAUCUUCAUUACUAAGAUUAGUUUCUGCUGAAGGAAAUAUAUGAAGGAGUAGCAUUUAAAAUCAAGUCGGUGCAAUCCAUUUUUAUUGACAUUUUUAACGGGAAAUGGUCCGAAAAUGAUGGUAAAGACGAAAUUACGAAGUUUGGUGUUAUGUUGUCCAACAGAUUGGAGCUGACAAGAAAAUGAUCCAAAUAGGGAGGGCCAUUCGGAUAUGACGGUGACACAUCGCAUACUCGAACUACGUCUAAUAUGUUUGUUUGCAGCCAAACUUUCAAAGAUUUUCCGUUGGUAUUCUCUGCAGAGUCACCCAGUCUGUGUUUCUUGAAUUAAAAUCCCACCGAAAAUAAGGCCGUCAUAUCUUGCACACACUUGCAUGAGUUUAUCUAGAUCAGCUUCCAGCUGAUGAGCAGAAUAAUUGCAAGGGACGUAUAAAGAUCCCAACGCGAAUUUUUUUCGAACUGAAUUUUGUAGACAUUCAAUUUGAAUCAUGCAUGCUUUUACGCCGACAUCACUGAUAACAAUUUUUGUGUGCAAUAUGGACUUUUUUAUUAAAACGGCUACGUGGCACUCUUGGAUAAAUCCCACAUCGAUGUUAUUGGCCGAAAGCGUUCUUUGCAGAUCAAUUUGUCUACUUUUGUCAUUAAUAGAUCUAACAUUGAAUGUCAAUAAAUUAAA